CCGCAGUGCCUCGCUCGUGCUGUUACGGAGGCGAAGCAAUGGAAAACGACAUGAAGUCUCUCAGCGCCGCCGCUCAGGCGUGCGUAAAGAAGAUGCGCGACGCCAAGGUGAACGAGGCGUGCAUCCGCACCUUCAUCGCACAGCACGUCAUGGUCAGUAAAGGCGAGACGGGGUCCAUUCCCGACUCCGCCAUCAUGCCGGUCGACUCCCUCGAUGCCCUGGACAGCCUCACCAUUGAGUGCGACAACGCUGUCCUGCAGAGCACCGUUGUGCUGAAGCUGAACGGCGGCCUCGGCACCGGCAUGGGGCUGCACGACGCCAAGACGCUGCUCGAGGUCAAGGAUGGCAAGACGUUUCUUGACUUUACAGCGCUUCAGGUACAGCACCUUCGCCAGCACUGCAGCGAGCAUCUGCGCUUUAUGUUGAUGGACAGCUUCAACACCUCCGCUAGCACCAAGAGCUUUCUGAAGGCGCGCUACCCGUGGCUGUACCAGGUCUUUGACUCUGAGGUGGAGCUGAUGCAGAACCAGGUGCCCAAAAUACUGCAGGACACGCUCGAGCCCGCGGCCUGGGCCGAGGACCCGGGGUGCGAGUGGGCGCCGCCGGGGCACGGUGACAUCUACACCGCUUUGUAUGGCUCCGGCAAGCUACAGGAACUCGUCAAGCAGGGCUACCGCUACAUGUUCGUCAGCAACGGCGACAACCUCGGCGCCACCAUCGACAAGCGCGUGCUGGCGUACAUGGAGAGGGAGAAGAUCGACUUUCUGAUGGAGGUGUGCCGCCGAACGGAGAGCGACAAGAAAGGCGGUCACCUGGCUCGGCAGACGGUGUAUGUGGAGGGCAAGGACGGUCAACCAGACGCCGAGAAGAGGGGGCUGCUGCUGCGGGAAUCGGCCCAGUGCCCCAAGGCGGACAUGGAAAGCUUCCAGGACAUCAACAAAUACUCCUUCUUCAACACGAACAACCUAUGGAUCAGGCUCCCGGUGCUGCUGGAGAUGAUGAAGGAGCACGGCGGCACGCUGCCGCUGCCGGUCAUCCGCAACGAGAAGACGGUCGAUCCAUCUAACUCAGCAUCACCCAAGGUGUACCAGCUGGAAACUGCCAUGGGCGCCGCGAUCGCCAUGUUCGAAAGCGCAUCGGCCAUUGUCGUGCCACGCAGCCGCUUCGCGCCAGUGAAGACGUGCGCCGAUCUGCUCGCUCUGCGCUCCGACGCCUACGUCGUGACGGACGACUUCCGCCUCGUCCUGGACGACCGCUGCCACGGCCACCCGCCCGUCGUCGACCUCGACAGCGCGCACUACAAGAUGAUGAGCGGCUUUGAGAAGCUUGUGCAACACGGCGUGCCAUCGCUGGUCGAGUGCAAGAGCGUGACAGUGAAGGGGCUGGUUCAGUUCGGCGCUGGCAACGUUCUCGCAGGCACGGUCAAGAUUGAGAACGCGGACAGCGCCUCGGCGUUCGUGAUCCCCGAUGGCGCCAAGCUAAACGACACAACGGCGUCACCGCCGCAGUCGACAGACAAGUAGGGGUCACGAGCAGCUGAGCAAAAUGACGAGGAACAGAUGUAGCAUCGCACUGAGCACGGCCGACAAAACCGGUCGUGCAGGGCGGGAAAGAGUGCAGCACCGCUGAUGCCCGGCGGCAAGUGCACUCAUAUAUAUGUCUGUGUAUAGUUAUAUGCUUGCAUGUGCGGGGGUUUACUGUUGACUCCCCCUCCCUG
rnacentral:misc_RNA from 1 species